CAGGACUCCAAGCACCACUACCAAUUGAUCACAGUUAACAAUUCAAGAUGAAAGCAAUUUUCUUCUCUGGUUUAAAAUGGGAGGACUGGGCAGAGAGAAGUUAAGUGACCGCCCAGAGCAAGAGCUGGAAUCAGAGACUGCCCAGGCCCUCUACUCUCAUCCUUAACCACUGAGACAUCCUGGCUCUGUCACUCUGACUUCCUGCACACACCAGGCCUGCCAACUACUUUAACAGCCAGUGACAGACGAAUCAUUAUGAGCUGCUAUGUAGGGAAAAGAAAAUAUAAGCCAGAUUCUCAUCCUAUAUAACUCUAGGGGAACUUUAAAUUGCCAGAUGUCAAUCUGGAACCUUUCCUGAGUGCUAAGCUCUCAUGCACAGAUGGGAAAGCACGAUUCCCUAUAGAGGGUUGAACUUUAAGGAUAUACUCAAGGUAGACCUCAAGUCCAGAACACAGGAAUGGCACAUCGCUCUCCAUGGGUUGAAAGUGGCCCCUUGCUAGAUGUCUUUUAACAUUUCCAGAGUCCAAAUCUCAUCUCCUGAGAUGCUCUAUCCAGCUCAUUUGCCUACUCCAGUUUUCCAAGGUGAAUAUAAGAACAAAGAAUAUCCAAGGAGCAUCUGGACUCUUCAGACUUGAGAUUCAUAUGCAUUUCAUUUUCUCCAUAUUGGCAGGUAAG